AUGCAGGAUCAUCAUGUGAUUGCCUAUGCAUCUCGACAGUUGCAUCCACAUGAGGAAAAUUAUCCUACACAUGAUCUAGAGCUUGCAGCUGUAGUCUAUGCACUUAAGACUUGCCGACAUUACCAUCUUGGUAACCGUUGCGAAAUCUACACUGACCAUCAGAGUCUCAAGUAUAUCUUCACCCAACCGGAUCUGCAUCUCAGACAGAGCCGCUGGUUGGAGUUGAUCUUGGAUUACGACUUAGGAAUCACCUACACCCCAGGCAAAGCCAAUGUCAUGGCUGAUGCUUUAAGUCGUAAAUCCUAUUGCAACAACCUCAUGUUGCAACAAUGUCAACCACCCCUCCAUGAGGAAUUCUGUAAGCUUAACCUUCACAUAGCUCCUCAUGGUUCCCUUUCUACCUUGGUGGCGAAACCUACCCUUACGGAUCAGAUCAUAGAGGCUCAGAAGCAUGAUAGGGGAAUUUCCCGGAUCAAGAAAAAUAUUUCAAAGGGAGUUGCCAACUGUUUCUCUAUGGAUGAACGAGGUGUUGUUUACUUUGGAAACCGUUUGGUGGUUCCCAAAUGUCAACAAAUGCAGCAACUGAUCCUUAAGGAGGCCCAUGACUCUCCUCUCACGAUUCAUCCCGGUAGUACAAAGAUGUAUCAGGACCUACGCCAGAGGUUCUGGUGGACUAGGAUGAAGAGAGAAAUCGCUCAAUAUAUUGCCAACUGUGACGUUUGUCAUCGCAUUAAGGCAGAGCAUCAAAGACCUGCUGGCACCCUUCAACCUUUAGCUAUUCCUGAGUGGAAAUGGGACAAAGUUGGUAUCGACUUCAUCACCGGCUUUCCUAGGACCAAGAAAGGAAAUAAUGCUAUCUUCGUGGUCAUUGAUCGUCUUUCCAAAGUGGCUCACUUCCUACCUGUUUGA
rnacentral:rRNA from 1 species